rnacentral:tRNA from 1 species
GAGGUCUUAGCUUAAGUAAAGUGUCUGAGUUGCAUUCAGGAGAUGUAGUGUUGUGUAAUUACAGGCCUUC